UGCGCAUCCAUCCGUGAAUAACCGCCCAAGGUAUUGUUUACAGCCGUUGGAUCAUCAAACCCCCUCGAUAAAUAUCUUCUAGUCACAUUUGCAAAUUUCGUAUCUUUCAUUUCAUUUCUCCGGCGUCUCCUUUCGGCAGAGCUCAUUUUCCUCUCAGAUCUUCUCUUCUUAGUUUAUUUGUCUUAUAAAAUUGUAUAGAUCGAGUAACGAUCUACGUUUUGGUUAUGGAUUUUAACCUUUCCGUUUCUCUGCCUAUUUUCCUCCGAUUUACUGACGGAGCUGCUGAAUUCGGCUAAGAUCUGACUCGCUACCAACAUAUCGACGAGUUGGUCGGAAUUUGCUGGAUCUGGAAAAUAUGUACGCGGAUGUAUAUUUUGCUGAAUGAUAGUAACAUCGCCUAGACGUUUUAGAGUGGUGUAAUCAUGCUCGCUGCAUCUACAAGGUUAUGGAUUUCGAUUGAUUGGUUCAAAAGGGAAGUUAUUGUUAUUUAUUUAAUAAUAUUGCAUAUUUUAUGUUCUUUAUUGGCGAGGUAACAAUUAUGUAAUAAGAAAAGAGAGCCAGAGUGUGGUAUCUGUGAAAAAAAUAGAGAGAUGGUGAAUGUGAGGUUAUGUGUUGUCUGAAUGACCUUUGCCAUGAUGGGUGCGCUCGCAUGGCAGGUCACCAAUUUAAUAAAAAAAGAUAUUUUUCUUUUGGGGGAGAGGCAUGGGGUUUUCGCCCAGCUCUCCCCCUGUGUGUGUCGUGUCGUUACUUUUGUUUUUGUCCGGUACUCGAACGUCCCGCUGUUCAAUUCAAUUCCAGCGAUCCGUCCAAUCAAAUCUCCUGCGGUCUUCAAAUGCCUUGUUUUGUCAAACAAGCAGAAAUAUCACAAUCCAUUUUCAUUCAAAUGCGCCCCAAGUAGUUGUGGCCUCCUGGGAAACCUACUCAUCGAAAGGUACAAAUUGGCACUGGUAAAAUUUAUUUUACUUCUCAUGUUUAUUUGAUAUUGCAGCGUUAGUCUAGUAUCUCUAACCAUAACAUUUAACCAAUCGCUCAAAUUGUUUGUCUUGUCGUCUUGUUUUGAAUUGGAUCUUCCAAAAAUGACACUAUUCUUGGGGUAUAUUGCACGAUUGGUUAAUACAAUCAAAGUUUUGAGGUCAGAACCCUUCAUCACAGAUCUGAUUACAGAAUUUCCUGAUUAUUACAUAAAAGUUAAGAUUUGCGUUUGCUAAACUAUGGCACUCCAUCUGAAUACCGCCGGUAUCAAAUUAAAAGGGUAACUGCUGUCUCUAACAAAAGUCCGUGUUGUUAAAACUCUAGUUAAUCAAUGAAUUUCUCUAACUGGCAUCGUUCCUGCACAAGAAGUCAACGUGAAUCUAUCAACAAAUAUGAAGUUCUUAAGUAUUGUUUGUUGAAUUUUUUGUUAGCAAUUUGAUGGUAUAUAUGUCCGAAUUGAUUUUGUUGUAUCUUUCGUUUAUUUUUCUAAAUGUCGUUAUUUAGAACUGUUUUAGUGGAUUGUUAUCUUCGAUAGAUAUAUCGAUGAGGCUGCUGCUGCUAGUUGAUAAUCCAUGUAUAGGUAUAGGUUGAAAGUUACAUUGUUUGUAAUAGAAUCAGCGGCGUUCUAGUUCUCUGGUGGUUGUCUGUUGAUCUUAAUGGUAAUGCUGCUGUGGGACUAUUCGGUUUAUUGAUGCCGCUCGUGAAGUAACUGAUGGUCCGUGUAGAAGCUGCUGCCUCUAUAACAUGAUCUUACCCUGCUGCUGAACCUGAGGUGGCUUUAUGUUUGUACAUUCAACUUUUGGAUGCCGGUUUGUGUAUUUUUGUAGUCCAGAUGUGAUGCCUUGGAGUCCCUGUUCGAACCUCUACUCCGCAAGAGUCUUCCAUGGCUGGUUUUUACACUCAAGUAAGCUUCAAGGAAUAUUUAUCAGUUCAAUUUUUACCGAAUCUCAUGUAUUUUAUCAACAAGUAGUUAGUUUGUUUCAAGUGGAUGUGUCUUCCUUUCUUCUUUCUUCGUCUCUUGGUUGUCGAUGAACUUUCAGUCCCUUGUUUCUUUUUUUUUUUUUUUUAUUAUGUGCAUACUUGGUGUUGCGGUGAACUUUUUUGUUAUGUCCUAUUGUUUAAAGAAUGAUUAAUAUGAGUUUUACU